GGACUGGGGGCUGUGUUAGGAAAAGCGGGACUGUUUGGCAGUAUGAAGGCUGUUUAGGGGAAAGAACGUACAGGCCCCUAGCAACCACCUUCCCUCCCAAAGUCUGCAGCUCGCUGACAGCAGGGGGCCCGGUAAUCCAAGUAAAUGCAGCCAAGCCCCCUUAACACCUAAAACCUCCCGAGCGCUGGUAGACUGGGCCGCUCCCGAUGGCGGACACCCCAGGGUGUUGGAAAGUAUGUGGUGCAGUAGUGAGAGAAGCCUCUGUGUAUCUACUGUCAUAUAUUGUGUGUUUUAUUUACAGCGUUAACCCUGUGAUCAGUGUGACGUUGCAUGAAGGAGAGUGAAAAUGUAUAAAGCUAAUUGGGCCCUUGUAAGAGAGCAAUUGGUUUAGUUGCGUGCAGCAUAGCUAUGGACAUACAAAUCAGUCCCACAAUAUAGUGUGCAGUGAGCAGCCGGGGAAUAGUGCAACGCUGUGUGCUGCUGUAUUGCUGCAACUCAAGUGCUAUCAGUGCUGUACCACGUGCCAAAGAGUUACUUGAGCAAUUGUCACAUCAGCUUUGGGAGAGAGGAAGGUGUUGGCAAUUACAGAGGAGAGGGAAGCUCAUUCCUCCUCAAUAAAACACUAGUCAAAAUCCUUGUUUUCCCCCUUUUAUAUUUCACUUUGUGCGUUUCAUCUGCAUCAAGCAUUCAAGCGCAUAUAUAGAAUGUUACAUCAUUAUCAUUUAAAUAAAUGCUCGGGGGUCCAAGUCCUAAGUGAUUAUGUGCUUCCAUACAUAAUAUUAUAAUAAUUCAUGUGUUUUACGUUGCAUGAAUAUGUGUUGCCAAACUGCCUGACACUGGUAGCCUUACCCCAAAUGCCAAAUGAUCUUGCUUCUAUAAGCGACUUGUUUCUUCUCAACUGCUCCCCGCAUCUGAUAUUUUUCAUUCAGUUCAGAGAUUGGCUCGUUUGUGUUGGGAACAGUGGAUGAUAAGUCUGUGUGUGCUCACACGCUGCACAGCUGAGAUUGAGUUCAGCCCAAAUACACGGAAGAAGAUAUUUGCAGGCUGACCUCCUCCGCUGUGUGUGAGUACAUACUGGCUGAUCAGAUUCAAAUCAAUGGAGCAGAGACAGGGAGCAGAUUUGUUUAUCUCUGCCUGCAAAAAUACGCUGACUGACAACAGCCGGAGCCUUCAGCCUGUGUGCCUAUAACUUUAACAGAAAGUAGACAUUGUCCUUCCUAAGGGGUGCAGGCAAGGGCCCUUUUUAAAUAGUUUAGAGAGCCAGAAAAGCGGAUCACUAUGCAAACUACUGCCAUCAACUAGCAGAUGGCAUGCCUGCUUUAUGUCCGACAUCUAAGUUUGAUAUGAAAUUGCUCCAGAAUCAUGCAAAGUAAACAAACCUAUGUACAAAAAUAUUCUGUCUUAAAAACCCAGUUAGACAAUGUUUUUUUUACCCGUCUAGAUGAACUUCCUAUUUAAGAGCCUGCUAAGUAUUCUGAAAAUUUGGUUCCUAUUGCAGACCCCCCAGUGAAACACACUCAUCAUAUAAAAUCUAGAUACUAAGUGGAUUAUUGUUACAUUUCUUUUUAGUGAUCAUCGCCUUAUUUUAUAUUUGUCAGAGAUAAUUAUCCAUUUCAGUACACUUUUUUGAGUUAUCUGAUACACAAUAUUAUUUGAAAGCUGCUCCUCUGCUUUAACAGUUUCCUAUAUUAUGUGUAAACAAAUAGUUUAUUUGGGGGAAGUAUAACCGUAACACUGGAGAGCUCUUGAAUGUUUUUUGAAACAGAUAUGUGACAUUUUGUUAAUUUAAAAUUUCUGCCUAAAGUGUGUUCUUGAGCUUUUUCUGCUUGCUGUCUCGGGAAAAACACUGAAGGAACCUCUUAGUCCAAGAAGUUACUCACAGAGGAGUCCUAGACUAUAUCAGAGAAGAUUCAAGAAUGGCUGCAGACAAAGCAGGAGUGUGGUCUGGGCUGCUUAGGGAUCGUCAUAAACAAAGCUGCUUGAAUUCUGCAUGACUGAACAGGGAGUUGAAAAACACAAGGGCUCUGCUGAUUGGUCAAGCAUAUCUGACCAUGAGAAGGAAUUAUCAAGAAGUGCAUUACAAGCAUUUACAGCUGGUAAUUAUGAAGCCUGUCUACAGCAUCUAGGAGAACUUAAAGAAAUCAACAAAGAUGAUUAUAAAGUAUUCCUGAACUCCUGCUGUAGCUGAGUUGUAUAAGAGUGGCCAAACAACUACUGACCUGUUGAAGCAAACAGUUAACCAUUAAUGAAUGAGGUAGGCGUAUUUGUCUGAAAUCUCCUAGAUCGUCUCCUCAAAGCCCUACAGGACCGUUUACACCACACAGACAAGAAGAGAAAUUUGCGCAUGCCGUAUGCUUUCUGCCUGUAGAUUUAUAUCUUCUGACAUUCCAAACGGAAAAAGCCUUGCACCUGUUGGUGGUUCUUGAAAAAAUUAUUUUACAGGGGCACAGCAAUAAUAAAAAUGGUAAAAAUCAUGAGACAAACAGCAAUGCUAAUAAUAAAGAACCCUUUGCCCAGAGGGGUGAUGGCGGAGUUCAUGUAGAAGCAGCAAAAUCUAAAAUUCAUCGGGUUGAAUUCUCCUUUAAGCAGCUAAAGCUCAUCAUCAAGCCAGGAAUUCAAACGUAACACCUGCUUGAAGGUCACUGGGAGCAACAUCCAACGAGCCACUGCUUUACUUACGUGUGGGUGAUAUCUCACUACCUCAGCAGUCCAAGGACAGAAUGGCAGAAAAUAGAGCAUUUCUGAUCCAAAUGAAAGAAGAGGCCACAGUAGAAUUUGAAUACAAUGAAAAUUCUUGUUAUACUGCUACUCCAUUAACAUAGAUAUUAUUUUGAGGCAUGAAGAUAAACAGAAAUAUCCUUUAUUUACCGAGUAGCAGCACAUUUUUGCCAAACGGUAGCUUAGAGCGUGACCGUGUUGAGACUUCACUCAGAAUGGAGGACCUGCACAGAAAGAAAACAAGAUGAGAAAUGCGUUUGAUACACUUAGCAUGUCCUGCCACUGCUAAACAAACUCAUGUCCAAUGGCAAAUGCUGUAUCUACUGUGAUAUGUUUAUUAGUGUCUGCAAUUUGAUCUCAUUAGCUUUUGAGGCUAGUAAAGGCCUCAUUAUGAUGCCUAGUCCAGUUUAAGAAAAGCAGCAGAGAUGUGUUACUGUGCUUUUUACUUUAUUUUGCUCCAUUAUGAUCCUCUGUGGGUCCCAAUGACCUGUUUUAGCUGCUUGACACAGAAUUGCACAGGUUUUAGGUUGCCUGGAGAGUGGAGCUCCUUAGACAAGAGUCCUUUCUCAUUGCUCUGCUGCUGCACCCCACAAGAACUACUGUAUAUGUUUACAGGUUGUACAGUUCCCACCUUGCUUAGUUUUACUAGACACCCUUCUCAUCUUCCCGGAAGUAUACGUCAUAGAUAUAUUGGAUUGUCUUAAGUGUUUUCCACUGCCUUUCAUAUGGUUAUUACUUAUUAAAGACCAAAGAAAUUCGGAUGCACACCUGUAAGUUGCAAUUGUGUCCAAACGGUGAUUUAUUUGAAGCCCAGAGUAUACAUCACAAAGGGGCAACAUUUCUGACCCCUCCGGGUCCUUUAUCAAGAGGCUUGAUAAAGGACCCGGAGGGGUCCGAAAAGUUGCCCCUUUGUGCUGUAUACUCUGGGCUUCAAAUAAAUCACCGUUUGGACACAAUUGCAACUUACAGGUGUGCAUCCGAAUUUCUUUUGUCAUUUACCCAUUGACCCUUAUGCGAGGGAAGGGUCUUCUGGAUAAGCACCCUACACUUACAAGUGUGUUGGGAUUAGGUUGAGCUCUCCAUGUUCAUGCAUCGUAUUACUUAUUAAAGAGGCAAUAUGUCUUGAUAAGAGCAAAGGAAUACAGCAAAUACACAAGCAUUUGUUAAAGUGCAGUCUUCCUUUUGGCCAAUCAGAUGCAUGAGUUUAUAGACUGGCAGAACAUCAGCCAAAGUGAUUCAUAUCAGAAGAGGGGAAAAUAAAACACACAAGUUUAAGAGCCAACACCCACACAGCAGUGAAAAUAAAUGUAUUUGUGAUAUUUCUUUUUUUUUUUUAUACAUUUGACUCAAACAUCACGUACAGACACGUUGGCUGAAAUUUCUAUCUUUUAGUAUUUUGCAUAUGGAAGGAAUCUCAGGCACUUUAUUUUAGUUUUUUGUUUUUAAAUUAACUUUUUUUUUAAAAAAAAAAAAUAGAAAAAUGCUGUGUGCUUGUCAGCCAAUUGCUUAGCUACAGAACAACUGUAAUAAAGAAACAAAGGAAGUA